CCGAUGGCGACCGGCGCACGGGUGAGUAACACGUAUCCAACCUGCCGAUAACUCGGGGAUAGCCUUUCGAAAGAAAGAUUAAUAUCCGAUAGGAUAUCAAGGUCGCAUGAUCUUGAUAUUAAAGAAUUUCGGUUAUCGAUGGGGAUGCGUUCCAUUAGUUAGUUGGCGGGGUAACGGCCCACCAAGACGACGAUGGAUAGGGGGUUCUGAGAGGAAGGUCCCCCACAUUGGAACUGAGACACGGUCCAAACUCCUACGGAAGGCAGCAG
rnacentral:rRNA from 1 species